GAAUCAAGAGGUCAAGACAAUCCGGAU
rnacentral:sRNA from 1 species